rfam:Thielavia terrestris NRRL 8126 chromosome 5, complete sequence.
GGUCCGCUGGCUCAAUGGCAGAGCGUCUGACUACGAUGUGUAAUCAGGAGGUUCCAGGUUCGACCCCUGGGUGGAUCG